GUGGGGAAUUUUGCGCAAUGGGCGAAAGCCUGACGCAGCAACGCCGCGUGGAGGAUGAAGGCCUUCGGGUCGUAAACUCCUGUCAGUGGGGACGAAUGCUUCGCAAGAAGUUUGACUGUACCCGCUGAGGAAGCCACGGCUAACUCCGUGCCAGCAGCCGCGGUAAUACGGAGGUGGCAAGCGUUGUUCGGAAUUACUGGGCGUAAAGGGCGCGUAGGCGGCUUGGCAAGUCAGAUGUGAAAGCCCCGAGCUUAACUUGGGAACUGCAUCUGAAACUGCUUAGCUUGAGUCCUGGAGGGGAUAGUGGAAUUCCCAGUGUAGCGGUGAAAUGCGUAGAUAUUGGGAGGAACACCUGCGGCGAAGGCGGCUAUCUGGACAGUGACUGACGCUGAGGCGCGAAAGCUAGGGGAGCGAACGGGAUUAGA
rnacentral:rRNA from 1 species